UACGUAGGGGGCAAGCGUUGUCCGGAUUUAUUGGGCGUAAAGAGCGUGUAGGCGGCCAGACAAGUCUGCUGUGAAAACUCGAGGCUCAACCUCGAGCUGUCGGUGGAAACUGUCUGGCUAGAGUCCGGAAGAGGAGAGUGGAAUUCCUGGUGUAAGCGGUGAAAUGCGCAGAUAUCAGGAAGAACACCUAUGGCGAAGGCAGCUCUCUGGGACGGUACUGACGCUGAGACGCGAAAGCGUGGGGAGCGAACAGG
rnacentral:rRNA from 1 species